CCUACGGGAGGCAGCAGUGAGGAAUAUUGGUCAAUGGGCGCAAGCCUGAACCAGCCAAGUCGCGUGAGGGAAGACGGCCCUACGGGUUGUAAACCUCUUUUGCCGGGGAGCAAGCCUGAGCACGUGUGCCCAGGCGGAGAGUACCCGGCGAACAAGCAUCGGCUAACUUCGUGCCAGCAGCCGCGGUAAUACGGGGGAUGCGAGCGUUAUCCGACUUUAUUGGGUUUACGGGUUGCGCAGGCGGGCUGUUAAGACGGCGGUAAAAAUUCAGGGCUCAACCCUGGCGAGCCGUCGGAACUGGCAGCCUUGAGUGGGCGAGAAGUAAGCGGAAUGCGUGGUGUAGCGGUGAAAUGCAUAGAUAUCACGCAGAACGCCGAUUGCGAAGGCAGCAUACCGGCGCCCGACUGACGCUGAGGCACGAAAGCGUGGGGAUCGAACAGGAUUAGAUACCCUAGUAGUC
rnacentral:rRNA from 1 species